rnacentral:misc_RNA from 1 species
AACGCACCUUGCACCUCUUGGUAUUCCGAGAGGUACACCUGUUUGAGUAUCAUUAAUUCUAUCUACUCUUUGGGUAUUCUUAAUAUUUAAAGAGUAGGACUUUGGGGGGGAAAUAUUGCAGGCUUAAUUGUUAUAUGUCUGCUCCCCUUGAAUGCAUCAGUGGGAAGUACUUGUUCUUGUGUGGCCUUUGGGUGAUAAAUUAUGGUCUACCUUUGGCUUAGCAACUUUUAACUAAAGCUUCUUGCUUCUAGCUGUCUCUUACUGAGAACAAACCUUGACAGUUUUUAAACCAUGAUCUCAAAUCAGGUGGGACUACCCGCUGAACUUAA